AUGCAAAGCAGAGCCUGGCUCUUCUGCACUCAAAACCCCAUCCCAUGGCUCCCGUCCUUCUCAUGCUCUGUAAGACCAGACAAGUCUAGUCUGUGCCUCGCUCCCACCUCCAUCUCUUUGACAUCUUUUUCCACCAGAAGGAGCUUUAGUUUCAGGAUAAAACAUGGCACAGGAAUUCUGAGACUUCUGGAUUUCUGGAAUUCUUCUGUGAACAGGAGAAGAAUAAAUCAAAGAAGAAUUCUUACCUUGAAAGUGAAGCUCGAUGUGGCUUCUUGCCGGAAAGUUCUACCAACCACUCCUCACAUCCUGAGUGGCACCUAAGCCUCUUCCACCCCCACUGCCUGCGCUUACUCUGAUAGAUGGCAAUGGAUUUCUGGGAAAUUCAAAUAGAUGUAUAGCCUCACUCUGCAUCAACGUGAGCACUCAGCCCGGGACCCUCUGAGAUGGCAGGAUUGCUUUCCCAGUGGGAUCAGGGCUCAACAUGGUGAGUUUGCAGGCA
rnacentral:lncRNA from 12 species